CAGGGGUCCCCUCGCGACGAAUUGCCGUGAACCCCGCCAGGCCCGGAAGGGAGCAACGGUAGCGGUGGAUUUGGGUGCCGAGGUGCGGCUUUUGUGG
rnacentral:SRP_RNA from 4 species